UACAGAGGUCUCAAGCGUUGUUCGGAAUUACUGGGCGUAAAGAGUGUGUAGGCGGUGCUCUAAGUUCGGUGUGAAAUCUCCUCGGCUCAACUGGGAGGUGCGCCGGAAACUGGGGUGCUGGAGCGCGGGAGAGGAAAGCGGAAUUCCUGGUGUAGCGGUGAAAUGCGUAGAGUAUCAGGAGGAACACCGGCGGUGUAGACGGCUUUCUGGACCGUAGCUGACGCUGAGACACGAAAGCGUGGGUAGCAAACAGG
rnacentral:rRNA from 1 species